UGGGGAAUAUUGCGCAAUGGGGGAAACCCUGACGCAGCGACGCCGCGUGCGGGAUGAAGGCCUUCGGGUUGUAAACCGCUUUCAGCAGGGACGAGGCCUUAUGGUGACGGUACCUGCAGAAGAAGCUCCGGCUAAAUACGUGCCAGCAGCCGCGGUAAUACGUAUGGAGCAAGCGUUAUCCGGAUUCAUUGGGCGUAAAGCGCUCGUAGGCGGUCUGUUAGGUCGGCAAGUUAAAUCCGGGGGCUCAACCCCCGUCCGCUUCCGAUACCGGCAGACUUGAGUUUGGUAGGGGAAGGUGGAAUUCCUAGUGUAGCGGUGGAAUGCGCAGAUAUUAGGAAGAACACCGGUGGCGAAGGCGGCCUUCUGGGCCAUAACUGACGCUGAGGAGCGAAAGCUAGGGGAGCGAACAGG
rnacentral:rRNA from 1 species